GCAUUCCUAUUCACUGAAAUCAGCUGCUGCUAUUCUAUUUACGGAAUGGACGAAUAGAGAAGGAAGAUUGAGGUGGAGUAUAUAAAGCAGAUACCCUGAGCUUCUGAAUUCAAUAGAUACUACCAGAAGUAGAUAUUGCCGGUUCAGGGAUAAAAUAUAAAUACAGCAAAAAAGCAGCAAAUAAUCAAAAGGAUAGAUAAAAAUUAUGCUACAAAAGAUACUUCCUCUGUUAAUGGCCAUCCUAGUGAUCGGACCAGGCAUAACCCAGGGGCAGCAA